UUGAUAUCUAGCUGCAGACCCUAGGAAACUAGGGAGCCUUCGAGGGUGCUAGACAGGUGCUGCAUGGUUGCCGUCAGCUCGUGUCGUGAGAUGUACCGUUAAGUCGGGAAACGAGCGCAACCCCUAUCUUGUGUUUUAUAUGUCGCAAGAAACUGCCCGCUUUAAGUGGGAGGAAGGUGGGGACGACGUCAAAUCAGCAUGGUCCUUACGUCUGGGGCGACACACGUGCUACAAUGGGAAGUACAAAGGGACGCCAAGCCGCAAGGCGGAGCAAAUCCCCCAAAACUUCUCUCAGUUCGGAUUGGGGUCUGCAACUCGACCCCAUGAAGCUGGAAUCGCUAGUAAACGCGCAUCAGCCACGGCGCGUUGAAUACGUUCUCGGGUCUUGUACUCACCGCCCGUCACACCAAGAGAGCCGGUAAUGCCCGAAGGCUGUACCUAGUACGGACGAAGGCAGGACUGGUAAUAAGGGUGAAGUCGUAACAAGGUA
rnacentral:rRNA from 1 species